AUCGACUUCCGUAGGAAGAACCGGAGAAGAGGAAUCACCAGAACUAACCUGAAGACCAAGUGCAUCUGAUUCACCCAUCUCCUCAACUUCAAGUAAAGGAAGGUUAGGGGAAUUAGGAAUUGAGACUCCAUACGUAGCUAAGUUGUCAAGAGAAGCACUGUUAACAGAGUUAUCAGCCGAUAAAUGAUUAUGGCUGAACACUUCGGCCGAAAAAAUUGAUCGACG
rnacentral:lncRNA from 1 species